UCCGGAAGGGAUAAACGCUGAAGGCAUCUAAGCGUGAAGCCCCCCUCAAGAUGAGAUAUCCCAAUAAGUAAGACCCCUUAAAGACUAUGAGGUAGAUAGGGCUGAGGUGUAAGCACAGCAAUGUGUUCAGCUGACAGUCACUAAUCGGUCGAGGGCUUAACCAA
rnacentral:rRNA from 1 species